rnacentral:rRNA from 1 species
UAACGGCGAGUGAGCGGCAAGAGCUCAAAUUUGAAAUCUGGCCCCUUCGGGGUCCGAGUUGUAAUUUGGAGAGGAUGCUUCGGGUACGGCCCCCGUCUAAGUGCCCUGGAACGGGCCGUCAUAGAGGGUGAGAAUCCCGUCUGGGACGGGUGGCCGGGCCCGUGUGAAGCUCCUUCGACGAGUCGAGUUGUUUGGGAAUGCAGCUCUAAAUGGGUGGUAAAUUUCAUCUAAAGCUAAAUAUUGGCCGGAGACCGAUAGCGAACAAGUAGAGUGAUCGAAAGAUGAAAAGCACUUUGAAAAGAGAGUUAAACAGCACGUGAAAUUGUUGAAAGGGAAGCGCUUGCGACCAGACUCGCCCGGGGAGGCUCAGCCGGCACUCGUGCCGGUGCAUUCCCCCCCGGGCGGGCCAGCGUCGGUUUGGGCGGUCGGUCAAAGGCCCCCGGAAUGUGUCGCCCUCCGGGGCGUCUUAUAGCCGGGGUGCAAUGCGGCCAGCCUGGACCGAGGAACGCGCUUCGGCUCGGACGCUGGCGUAAUGGUCGUAAACGACCCGUCUUGAAACACGGACCAAGGAGUCUAACAUCUACGCGAGUGUUCGGGUGUUAAACCCGUGCGCGCAGUGAAAGCGAACGGAGGUGGGAACCCUUCCGGGUGCACCAUCGACCGAUCCUGAUGUCUUCGGAUGGAUUUGAGUAAGA